CUGGUCACAGGGUUGCAGCCCAGUACCCAGGGAAGAGGGAUCCAGGAUCAAAUAGAUAGGACAACCGCUGGGGGAGGGGCCGGCCCCACCGGAGGAAAUGAAAAUAGUUGCAGUUUCAUUUGCUUUAAAGCACAGCCCUUGUAAUAAAUGCGCACAGCAAAUGUGCUGAGCAAACACCUCGGCAUUCAUCACUAUGCGGGGGCUGUUUACUGCCUCAUAAACUUGGAAGCAAGUGAUAUUGUCUCCUAAAUCAAUGGCUGCGCGGACAGCCUUGGCGCUCCAGGAGAACAGCACGGCCAGGCCGCGCCCGUGCUGAAAUUAAUGACUGGAGCAGUGACUGGAAGGUGCUUAGUCACUGCCGAGGGGAUUAGGAGCCAUUCCAGGGGACGAGCAGCCAGCCGAUGCUGAUGAGUCGGGGGCCGGAUGCCCCAACCAGAGCUCUGUGAUUAACCAGCUGAGUAAGCCUGCUUGGACCCCCAGAUCAGAAAGAGUCCAUCUCCCUGAGCUUACCACAGUAUGCACUGACCUAUGAUGGCACAGACUUGGCAUACAACCCAGCUGUGGCCAGCGAGACACAGAGCAAGCCUGCUGAUGGGGCUUCCAGGAAAUACUUUUAUUUUUCUUCAGAUACAAGACAAAGGCAUGUAAGGAAAAGACCUUUCUGCACCUUCCCCAACUUCCUGCCUCCAACGCUUCUGUGUGAUGAUGUGAUACUUGGAACAUGGUGGCAUCUUGUGACCAUGAGGUGACAGGCUUGGCAUGGACAGCCGUGUGCUGUGGGUGGCAGAGCAGGUAACCAGGAAGCCUGGUGCUGACACCCAUCCUCCUGCACCUAUGCCAGCUGGGACCGCCCACCUCCGGACUUCUGACCGUGUGAGCUGACGGCCUCUCUUCACUGCCUGGUGCCUGUUGGUCAGCUGUUUCGUUACUUGUGAUCAAAAGCAUUCCUGAUGGAUUCAAGACUCUUUGAAGAAACUGGAGCUGUGUCACCUGGAAUCUCUGCUGUCAGCUGCUUGAAUCCCCUCCCAGCAUUUCCACCAACCUGUGCUUAGGCAAUUAGAGAAGGAGGAACUCAGGCCAGGCGCGGUGGCUCACGCCUGUAAUCCCAGCACUUCGGGAGGCCGAGGCGGGCGGAUCAAGAGGUCAGGAGAUCAAGACCAUCCUGGCUACCACGGUGAAACCCCAUCUCUACAAAAAUACAAAAAAUUAGCCAGGCGUGGUGGCGGGCACCUGUAGUCCCAGCUACUCGGGAGGCAGGAGAAUGGCCUGAACCAGGGGGGCAGAGCUUGCAGUGAGCCGAGAUCGCUCCACUGCACUCCAGCCUGGGCGACAGAGAGAGACUCCGUCUCCAAAAAAAAAAAAAAAAAAAAAAAUGGAGGAGCUCACUCUCUCUCUCCCAGGCCACCCAUGCCACCUCUGGGCCCUUCUGCCGAGUCUUUGUUCUGUGAUGAGGGAAUUCAGCUGGACAGCGUUCCCUGGGAGGUGUGGGGGCUGAGUCCCUCCCAGAGCCUGCCUGGAAAGGGCAGGGCUUGUCAAAGCCCCAGUGUGGGAGGCAUGAAGGUGAGAGCCGCGCUGGCCAGGUAUGCCCUGUUCUGCUUCCUCCUGCGAGUUCCCCAGGAGGGAGGGGUUUUAUUCUUUCUAAAAAUAGCUUUACUGAAAUAUAAUUCCCACACCACACAAUUCACCCAUUUAAAGUGUGCAAUUCAGUGGUUUCUAGUACUGCCACAGACAGGUGCCACCAUCACCACAAUGUUAGAACAUUUCGUCACCUAAAGCAAAACAAGACAAACCUUUUCCCUUUAGCUGUCAUAUUCCCCCAAGUCUCCAGCUCCCCACUCCCUCAGCCCUAGGCAACCACUAAUCUUUCUGUCACUCUAGAUUGGCCUGUUCCAGACAUUUCCCAUGAACGGAACCAUGCAAUAUAUGUGGUCUUGGUGUCUGGCUUCUCACUUAGCAUCAUGUUUCCAAGGUUCAUCAGCACUUCGUUGUUUUUUAUUACCAAAUUGUAUUCCACUGUAUUGAUAUACAAUUGGUUCUCCUUAUUUUUGGGAGUUCUGUUCUGUAAAGUCACCGCAAACAUUGAAUUAGCAAACAUUGAACCACUACCCCUACAGGAAAUAGAGUUAGGUUCCUGCAAGCCUCUGGUCACAUUUUUGCCUACUGAUCGAUAUGUAAUCUUGUUUUAUGUGUAUUUCUGUUUAAAGACAACUAAUUUGAUAUAUAAUGUGUCUAUAUAUUUAUAUACGUAUGUGCAUAUGUAUAUAUGUAUAAUAUGUGCAUAUAUAUAUAGUUGGUUCAUUAACAUUGAAGUUAUGGCCAACAGCAUUUCAACUCAUAUUUCAGAGGGUGGAGGUUUGUGGGGAGGAGUGUUUUCCUGGAGAGCCUCUCAACAUAGAUACACUUGUGUGGACCUAAAAUCACCCAAGCUAGGAGGGCCAGCCCAUCCUGGUCUGCCCUGGGCUGAGGGCUUUCCCAGGAGAGUGAACUUUCAGUGCUAAAGCCAGACAGGGACAGCUGCUCACCCUACCUGCCUCCUAACAUCUAUCCACGGGUUCUGCAUCCACCCUUUGGAGUGGCACAAAACAAAGAUGAUCCCCUCUUUCCCCAAGUAGACUCUGAGUGAAGACACAUCUUAGGUCCACUUCUCAGGCUCAAUAUCCUCAAUUUCUUGGACCUCCUUCAUAUUGUGCGAGGUGGCAGAGGCUGCUUGCUGAUCACCAGGCUCCUCUCCUCUUCUGCACUUUCCAGCCUCUCUCGCAGGUAGGAGUGGCCACAGGAGUUCUAGAAUGUGAGCAGAAGGCAUGUGGCCACUUCCAGGCCCUGCCUAUACACACCUUCCACUCACAGUCCUCCAUGCUCUUGCACAAGAGGGAAGCUGCCCUGGGUCACUGCUAGGGGAGGGCUGACCUCCACUCAGGAGCCCCUCCUAGGUGAGCAAGCCAUAAGCGGUUGUGCUGGGUCUCUGUGGUUAGGGGCUUACCUGUCACAGCAGCUCCAAUCACUUUGACUGGCUCACAUGACGCAAAGCUCUUUUGUGACCAGCUCACUCCUCUGCACACAUUCCUGCCUGUCUAGACUCCUUUUUUGGAGUCCAGGUGUGGUCCGUGUGUCCAAGGCUGAGGCCAAUGCUCUCCCUCUUCCCACACCUAUCUCUAGGGGUGUUGGGUAAGAUUGCAUUAACUGGGGGAGCCCCACCCCGUGGCUGCCCCACAUGAAACACUGUUAAACAGCCCUCCCAAGCCGUUUUCACCCAUACCACUGCAAAGUCACGUUUUCCCCAUCCUCUGCAGCUGGGGGCUUGGGAACACAAUAAUUAGCUUUAUUGUGAAAAUCACCCAUCACCGUAGCUCACUGAGGUCCUCUGGAUCCUGAUUCUGUCCACUGUGCCUUGAGUCUUCGGCCAUUCACUGGUGUCUCCACUCUCCACUGCCUUACUCACAAGCAUGAUCACUAUACUAACAACAGCCAGCACUCCACAAUAAACUCUAAGUGCUUCCUGAGUCUCAACUCUUAAUCUUCUCAACAAUUCUCACGUAGAAACUAUUAUGAUCCCCACUGUAUAGAGGAGUAAACUGAGGCACAGUCAAUAACUUGCUCCAGGACAAUUAGCUAGUAAGUGACAGAGCUGGACUUAAACCCAGCAAUUUGAUGUCAGUCAUAUUGUUAACUAUCAGGCUAAUAUGUUGUCUACACCUGGAUCAUGUCUGAAUUCAGUUGUUGCAGACACAAAUAGAGAACACAGAUGUGCUCCGGGCAGCUGGGCCCUCUGCUUGGAGACGCCUGCAGUUAACACCCCUCUGCUUAUAGAGCAUGUUUCAGGCGUACUUGUUCAACUGGUCACUCAGCCUCAACAGCCUCCAAGCUGUUUCAUCAUUUUAUCUGUGAGGAUUUCAAAGGAAACCAGGAGCCGAGCGCCCAGAAAGAAAAGAAGACCGGAAUCAGAGAGCGUUCUGCAAGUUCGCAAGUUCAAGGGCCCAGAGGCACAGUAGCCCAGAAGCCUCAAGGACUUUCUACCAAAACUCACAGGUACAACCUUGAAAACACAAGAAAAGAAAACAAGAACUUGCCUUCUUGGGCAAGGGGAGUUGAAAGAGGCCAGGCCCAGAACUCCAGAGAUGAAAUGGGAGCAGCUGCAGCCUGGCUGUUAUUCCAAGCGUGUCGUGCUGAGAAGUAAGGGGAGUGUGUGCUCAUCACUGUCUGUGGUGUGGACUCAGGACGCGCCCCCUGGAAGCAUCGAUUCGGCCCGAGUCGCUUGCUGAAGGUGUGCUCUGCGGAGGGGCUGCCCACCCAGCCUCUCUAUAUUGACCAUUUUCCUGCUUUAUGCAAAGUAAUUGGCCAAGCAUUGUACAAAAGAAGGAUAAUUAAUACACUGGUUUAACCCUUGA